GAUGAAGAACGUAGCGAAAUGCGAUAAGUAAUGCGAAUUGCAGAAUUCAGUGAGUCAUCGAGUCUUUGAACGCACAUUGCGCCCCCUGGCAUUCCGGGGGGCAUGCCUGUCCGAGCGUCAUUGCUGCCCUUCAAGCCCGGCUUGUGUGUUGGGUCGUCGUCCCCCCCGGGGGACGGGCCCGAAAGGCAGCGGCGGCACCGCGUCCGGUCCUCGAGCGUAUGGGGCUUUGUCACCCGCUCGAUUAGGGCCGGCCGGGCGCCAGCCGGCGUCUCCAACCUUCUAUUUUACCAGGUUGACCUCGGAUCAGGUAGGGAUACCCGCUGAACUUAAGCAUAUCAAUAAGCGGAGGA
rnacentral:misc_RNA from 1 species